AAUGUACGCUGGCGGCACGCCUAACACAUGCAAGUCGAGCGAGGUACUUGUACCUAGCGGCAGACGGGUGCGUAACAUGUGGGAAUCUGCCUUUUGGUUCGGAACAACACGGGGAAACUUGUGCUAAUACCGGAUAAGUCCUAACGGAGAAAGAUUUAUCGCCGAAAGAUGAGCCCGCACUAGAUUAGCUUGUUGGUAAGGUAAAAGCUUACCAAGGCUACGAUCUAUAGCUGAUUUGAGAGGAUGAUCAGCCACACUGGGACUGAGACACGGCCCAGACUCCUACGGGAGGCAGCAGUGGGGAAUCUUGCACAAUGGAGGAAACUCUGAUGCAGCGAUGCCGCGUGAGUGAAGAAGGCCCUUGGGUUGUAAAGCUCUUUUGUCGGGAAAGAUAAUGACUGUACCCGAAGAAUAAGGUCCGGCUAACUUCG
rnacentral:rRNA from 1 species